rnacentral:rRNA from 1 species
AGCGGUGAAUGCGUAGAUUUAGGAGGAACACCAGUGGCGAAGGCGGCUUUCUGGACGACAACUGACGCUGAGGCGCGAAAGUGUGGGGAGCAAACAGGAUUAGAUACCCUGGUAGUCCACACCGUAAACGAUGGAUACUAGGUGUAGGAGGUAUCGACCCCUUCUGUGCCGCAGUUAACACAAUAAGUAUCCCACCUGGGGAGUACGACCGCAAGGUUGAAACUCAAAGGAAUUGACGGGGGCCCGCACAAGCAGUGGAGUAUGUGGUUUAAUUCGAAGCAACGCGAAGAACCUUACCUGGGCUUGACAUCCCUGGAAUCGAGUAGAGAUACUUGAGUGCCUUCGGGAAUCAGGUGACAGGUGGUGCAUGGUUGUCGUCAGCUCGUGUCGUGAGAUGUUGGGUUAAGUCCCGCAACGAGCGCAACCCCUAUUGUCAGUUGCCAUCAUUAAGUUGGGCACUCUGGCGAGACUGCCGGUGACAAAUCGGAGGAAGGUGGGGACGACGUCAAAUCAUCAUGCCCCUUAUGCCCAGGGCUACACACGUACUACAAUGGCCGAUAACAAAGUGCAGCGAAACCGUGAGGUGGAGCGAAUCACAAAACUCGGUCUCAGUUCAGAUUGCAGGCUGCAACUCGCCUGCAUGAAGUUGGAAUUGCUAGUAAUCGCGGAUCAGAAUGCCGCGGUGAAUACGUUCCCGGGCCUUGUACACACCGCCCGUCACACCAUGAGAGUCGAUAACACCCGAAGCCUGUGAGCUAACCUAUUAGGAGGCAGCAGUCGAAGGUGGGGUUGAUGAUUGGGGUGAAGUCGUAACAAGGUAGCCGUAUCGGAAGGUGCGGCUG